rnacentral:rRNA from 1 species
GGGUAGUCCUAGCCGUAAACGAUGUGGGCUAGGUGUCAGUCACACUGCGAGUGUGGCUGGUGCCGUAGGGAAGCCGUGAAGCCCACCACUUGGGAAGUACGGCCGCAAGGCUGAAACUUAAAGGAAUUGGCGGGGGAGCACCACAACGGGUGGAUGCUGCGGUUUAAUUGGAUACAACGCCGGAAAUCUCACCGGGGGAGACAGCGAGAUGAAGGUCAGGCUGAAGACCUUACCAGAUUAGCUGAGAGGAGGUGCAUGGCCGUCGUCAGUUCGUACUGUGAAGCAUCCUGUUAAGUCAGGCAACGAGCGAGACCCGCGCCCUCAGUUGCCAGCGGGUCGCUUUGCGACGCCGGGCACACUGAGGGGACUGCCCGGCGCUAAGGCCGGAGGAAGGUGCGGGCAACGGCAGGUCCGUA